GAUGAACGCUGGCGGCGUGCCUAAUACAUGCAAGUCGAGCGAACGGACGAGAAGCUUGCUUCUCUGAUGUUAGCGGCGGACGGGUGAGUAACACGUGGAUAACCUACCUAUAAGACUGGGAUAACUUCGGGAAACCGGAGCUAAUACCGGAUAAUAUUUUGAACCGCAUGGUUCAAAAGUGAAAGACGGUCUUGCUGUCACUUAUAGAUGGAUCCGCGCUGCAUUAGCUAGUUGGUAAGGUAACGGCUUACCAAGGCAACGAUGCAUAGCCGACCUGAGAGGGUGAUCGGCCACACUGGAACUGAGACACGGUCCAGACUCCUACGGGAGGCAGCAGUAGGGAAUCUUCCGCAAUGGGCGAAAGCCUGACGGAGCAACGCCGCGUGAGUGAUGAAGGUCUUCGGAUCGUAAAACUCUGUUAUUAGGGAAGAACAUAUGUGUAAGUAACUGUGCACAUCUUGACGGUACCUAAUCAGAAAGCCACGGCUAACUACGUGCCAGCAGCCGCGGUAAUACGUAGGUGGCAAGCGUUAUCCGGAAUUAUUGGGCGUAAAGCGCGCGUAGGCGGUUUUUUAAGUCUGAUGUGAAAGCCCACGGCUCAACCGUGGAGGGUCAUUGGAAACUGGAAAACUUGAGUGCAGAAGAGGAAAGUGGAAUUCCAUGUGUAGCGGUGAAAUGCGCAGAGAUAUGGAGGAACACCAGUGGCGAAGGCGACUUUCUGGUCUGUAACUGACGCUGAUGUGCGAAAGCGUGGGGAUCAAACAGGAUUAGAUACCCUGGUAGUCCACGCCGUAAACGAUGAGUGCUAAGUGUUAGGGGGUUUCCGCCCCUUAGUGCUGCAGCUAACGCAUUAAGCACUCCGCCUGGGGAGUACGACCGCAAGGUUGAAACUCAAAGGAAUUGACGGGGACCCGCACAAGCGGUGGAGCAUGUGGUUUAAUUCGAAGCAACGCGAAGAACCUUACCAAAUCUUGACAUCCUUUGACAACUCUAGAGAUAGAGCCUUCCCCUUCGGGGGACAAAGUGACAGGUGGUGCAUGGUUGUCGUCAGCUCGUGUCGUGAGAUGUUGGGUUAAGUCCCGCAACGAGCGCAACCCUUAAGCUUAGUUGCCAUCAUUAAGUUGGGCACUCUAAGUUGACUGCCGGUGACAAACCGGAGGAAGGUGGGGAUGACGUCAAAUCAUCAUGCCCCUUAUGAUUUGGGCUACACACGUGCUACAAUGGACAAUACAAAGGGUAGCGAAACCGCGAGGUCAAGCAAAUCCCAUAAAGUUGUUCUCAGUUCGGAUUGUAGUCUGCAACUCGACUAUAUGAAGCUGGAAUCGCUAGUAAUCGUAGAUCAGCAUGCUACGGUGAAUACGUUCCCGGGUCU
rnacentral:rRNA from 1 species